rnacentral:rRNA from 1 species
GACGAACGCUGGCGGCGUGCUUAACACAUGCAAGUCGAACGAUGAAGCUGGAGCUUGCUCCGGUGGAUUAGUGGCGAACGGGUGAGUAACACGUGAGCAAUCUGCCCUUGACUCUGGGAUAACUGCGGGAAACUGUAGCUAAUACCGGAUACUUUCACUGGAAGGCAUCUUCUGGUGAAGAAAGAAUUUCGGUCAAGGAUGAGCUCGCUGCCUAUCAGCUUGUUGGUGAGGUAACGGCUCACCAAGGCGACGACGGGUAGCCGGCCUGAGAGGGUGACCGGCCAAACGGGGACUGAGACACUGCCAAGACUCCUCCGGGAGGCAGCAGUGGGGAAUAUUGCACAAUGGGCGCAAGCCUGAUGCAGCAUCGCCGCGUGAGGGAUGAAGGCCUUCGGGUUGUAAACCUCUUUUAGCAGGGAAGAAGCGAAAGUGACGGUACCUGCAGAAAAAGCACCGGCUAACUACGUGCCAGCCGCCGCCGUAA